rnacentral:rRNA from 1 species
UACGUAGGGUCCAAGCGUUAUCCGGAAUCACUGGGCGUAAAGCGUGCGUAGGCGGCGUGUUAAGUGUGAUGUUAAAUCGUGUGGCUCAACCAUAUCGAUGCAUCGCAUACUGGCAUGCUAGAGGAAGGCAGAGGCAAGUGGAAUUUGUAGUGUAGCAGUGAAAUGCGUAGAUAUUACAAGGAACACCAAUGGCGAAAGGC